rnacentral:rRNA from 1 species
UGGGGAAUAUUGCGCAAUGGGCGGAAGCCUGACGCAGCGACGCCGCGUGGGGGAUGAAGGCCUUCGGGUCGUAAACCUCUUUCAGCAGGGAAGAAGCUUUCGGGUGACGGUACCUGUAGAAGAAGCACCGGCUAACUACGUGCCAGCAGCCGCGGUAAUACGUAGGGUGCAAGCGUUGUCCGGAAUUAUUGGGCGUAAAGAGCUCGUAGGCGGUUUGUCGCGUCUGCUGUGAAAACUCAGGGCUUAACUUUGAGCUUGCAGUGGGUACGGGCAGGCUAGAGUGCGGUAGGGGAGACUGGAAUUCCUGGUGUAGCGGUGAAAUGCGCAGAUAUCAGGAGGAACACCGGUGGCGAAGGCGGGUCUCUGGGCCGUAACUGACGCUGAGGAGCGAAAGCAUGGGGAGCGAACAG